rnacentral:rRNA from 1 species
CUCGACUGCACGAAGCUGGAAUCGCUAGUAAUCGCGGAUCAGCACGCCGCGGUGAAUACGUUCCCGGGCCUUGUACACACCGCCCGUCACACCAUGGAAGUCUGCAAUGCCCGAAGCCGGUGGCCUAACCACUUAUGUGGAAGGAGCCGUCUAAGGCAGGGCAGAUGACUGGGGUGAAGUCGUAACAAGGUAAC